rnacentral:rRNA from 1 species
UUGGUGGGGUAAUGGCCUACCAAGCCGAAGACGGGUAGCGGGUGUGAGAGCAUGACCCGCCGCAUCGGGACUGAGACACUGCCCGGACUCCUACGGGAGGCUGCAGUAACGAAUAUUCCGCAAUGCGCGAAAGCGUGACGGAGCAAUGCCGCGUGCAGGAUGAAGCCCCUCGGGGUGUAAACUGCUGUCAGGGUUUAGGAACACAAUGACCAAACCCAAAGGAAGGACCGGCUAACUCUGUGCCAGCAGCCGCGGUAAUACAGAGGGUCCAAGCGUUGAUCGGAAUCACUGGGCUUAAAGGGUUCGCAGGCGGAUCUGUAAGUAUGUUGUGAAAUCCCACGGCUCAACCGUGGAAUUGCUUCGUAGACUGCAGAUCUUGAGCACGACAGGGGCCAUCAGAACGAUAGGUGGAGCGGUGAAAUGCGUAGAUAUCUAUCGGAAUGCCAAAGGUGAAGACAGAUGGCUGGGUCGUCGCUGACGCUCAGGAACGAAAGCAUGGGUAGCGAACGGGAUUAGAUACCCCGGUAGUCCAUGCCCUAAACGAUGUGUACUAGUUCGAGGAGGUUUUAACGCCAUCUCGGACGAAGCUAAAGUAUUAAGUACACCGCCUGGGGAGUACGGUCGCAAGGCUAAAACUCAAAGGAAUUGACGGGGGCCCGCACAAGCGGCGGAGCAUGCGGAUUAAUUCGAUGCAACGCGAAGAACCUUACCAAGGCUUGACAUAUACGAGAACGGGCUAGAAAUAGUCAACUCUUUGGACACUCGUAAACAGGUGGUGCAUGGUUGUCGUCAGCUCGUGUCGUGAGAUGUUGGGUUAAGUCCCGCAAC